UGAUUGGAGAGCAAGGUGUUUUUCUUUGGAAAUUUUUGAAGAUGAAUCAAUUGUAUCAUCGGAAGAACGCCUUUGGCGCCCGUGAGGAGACGCACGGUUUUGAAUUCUCUGAUCAGAGGGAGUCUGUUGUUUGUCCGAAGCCACGACGAUCAUCCAGUUGGGGUGUCUGAUUCAAACGCCGGGGCAGAGCUUCUAGACAUCAUUCUCACGAAGUUUUCGUGUAGAAGAAGACUCGGG